rnacentral:rRNA from 1 species
GAUGAACGCUAGCGGCAGGCUUGAUACAUGCAAGUCGAGGGGUAACAGGUCUGUAGCAAUACAGAUGCUGACGACCGGCAAACGGGUGCGGAACACGUACAGAACCUUCCUUCGAGUGGGAGAUAGCCCAGGGAAACUUGGAGUAAUAUCCCAUAGGAUCAUAGAGUGGCAUCACUUAGUGAUUAAAGAUUUAUCGCUUGAAGAUGGCUGUGCGGCUGAUUAGGUAAUUGGUGUAGGUAACGGCUCACCAAGCCUUCGAUCAGUAACUGGUGUGAGAGCACGACCAGUCACACGGGCACUGAGACACGGGCCCGACUCCUACGGGAGGCAGCAGUAAGGAACAUUGGGCAAUGGAGGCAACUCUGACCCAGCCAUGCCGCGUGGAGGAUGAAGGUCCUCUGGAUUGUAAACUUCUUUUAUUUGGGAAGAAAUGCCGAUUUUCUAAUUGGUUUGACGGUACCAGAUGAAUAAGCACCGGCUAACUCCGUGCCAGCCGCCGCUGUAACAC